ensembl:snRNA U6 U6 spliceosomal RNA
GUGCUCGCAUUGGCAGCACAUACACAAAAAUUGGAAUGGUACAGAGAUUAGCAUGACCCAUGCACAAGGAUGACAUGCAAAUUCAUGAAGCAUCUCAUAUUGGG